UACAGAGGUCUCAAGCGUUGUUCGGAUUCAUUGGGCGUAAAGAGCGUGUAGGCGGCCAGACAGGUCCGUUGUGAAAACUCGAGGCUCAACCUCGAGACGCCGAUGGAAACCGUCUGGCUAGAGUCCGGAAGAGGAGAGUGGAAUUCCUGGUGUAGCGGUGAAAUGCGCAGAUAUCAGGAAGAACACCCGUGGCUAAGGCGGCUCUCUAGUACGGUACUGACGCUGAGACGCGAAAGCGUGGGGAGCGAACAGG
rnacentral:rRNA from 1 species